UGCAACUCGACUGCAUGAAGCCGGAAUCGCUAGUAAUCGCGGAUCAGAAUGCCGCGGUGGAUACGUUCCCGGGUCUUGUACACACCGCCCGUCACACCAUGGGAGUCGGAAAUGCCCGAAGCCGGUGGCCUAACCGAUAAGGGAGGAGCCGUCGAAGGCAAGUCUGAUGACUGGGGUGAAGUCGUAACAAGGUACC
rnacentral:rRNA from 1 species